rnacentral:rRNA from 1 species
UACGGAGGGGGCAAGCGUUGUUCGGAAUUACUGGGCGUAAAGGGCGCGCAGGCGGCUGCUCAAGUCAGGCGUGAAAGGCCUGGGCUCAACCCGGGAAUUGCGCUUGAGACUGGGCUGGCUUGAGUGCGGGAGAGGAUGGUGGAAUUCCCAGUGUAGAGGUGAAAUGCGUAGAUAUCAGGAGGAACACCUGUGGCGAAAGCGGCUCACUGGACCACAACUGACGCUGAGGCGCGAAAGCUAGGGGAGCAAACAGG